CCUACGGGUGGCAGCAGUGAGGAAUAUUGGUCAAUGGGCUUACGCCUGAACCAGCCAAGUCGCGUGAGGGAAGACUGCCCUAUGGGUUGUAAACCUCUUUUGUCAGGGAGCAACGCCGGCUACGUGUAGCCGGACUGAGAGUACCUGAAGAAAAAGCAUCGGCUAACUCCGUGCCAGCAGCCGCGGUAAUACGGAGGAUGCGAGCGUUAUCCGGAGUUAUUGGGUGUAAAGGGUGCAUAGGCGGAAUGCAAAGUCAGCGGUAAAAGCGCGGGUCUCAACCUCGCUCCGCCGUUGAAACUGGCGUUCUUGAGUGGGCGAGAGGUAUGCGGAAUGCGUGGUGUAGCGGUGAAAUGCAUAGAUAUCACGCAGAACUCCGAUUGCGAAGGCAGCAUACCGGCGCCCAACUGACGCUGAAGCACGAAAGCGUGGGUAUCGAACAGGAUUAGAUACCCGUGUAGUC
rnacentral:rRNA from 1 species